AAAUUGAAGAGUUUGAUCAUGGCUCAGAUUGAACGCUGGCGGCAGGCCUAACACAUGCAAGUCGAACGGUAACAGGAAGCAGCUUGCUGCUUUGCUGACGAGUGGCGGACGGGUGAGUAAUGUCUGGGAAACUGCCUGAUGGAGGGGGAUAACUACUGGAAACGGUGGCUAAUACCGCAUAACGUCGCAAGACCAAAGAGGGGGACCUUCGGGCCUCUUGCCAUCAGAUGUGCCCAGAUGGGAUUAGCUUGUUGGUGAGGUAACGGCUCACCAAGGCGACGAUCCCUAGCUGGUCUGAGAGGAUGACCAGCCACACUGGAACUGAGACACGGUCCAGACUCCUACGGGAGGCAGCAGUGGGGAAUAUUGCACAAUGGGCGCAAGCCUGAUGCAGCCAUGCCGCGUGUAUGAAGAAGGCCUUCGGGUUGUAAAGUACUUUCAGCGGGGAGGAAGGUGUUGUGGUUAAUAACCGCAGCAAUUGACGUUACCCGCAGAAGAAGCACCGGCUAACUCCGUGCCAGCAGCCGCGGUAAUACGGAGGGUGCAAGCGUUAAUCGGAAUUACUGGGCGUAAAGCGCACGCAGGCGGUCUGUCAAGUCGGAUGUGAAAUCCCCGGGCUCAACCUGGGAACUGCAUUCGAAACUGGCAGGCUUGAGUCUUGUAGAGGGGGGUAGAAUUCCAGGUGUAGCGGUGAAAUGCGUAGAGAUCUGGAGGAAUACCGGUGGCGAAGGCGGCCCCCUGGACAAAGACUGACGCUCAGGUGCGAAAGCGUGGGGAGCAAACAGGAUUAGAUACCCUGGUAGUCCACGCCGUAAACGAUGUCUACUUGGAGGUUGUGCCCUUGAGGCGUGGCUUCCGGAGCUAACGCGUUAAGUAGACCGCCUGGGGAGUACGGCCGCAAGGUUAAAACUCAAAUGAAUUGACGGGGGCCCGCACAAGCGGUGGAGCAUGUGGUUUAAUUCGAUGCAACGCGAAGAACCUUACCUGGUCUUGACAUCCACAGAAGAAUCCAGAGAUGGAUUUGUGCCUUCGGGAACUGUGAGACAGGUGCUGCAUGGCUGUCGUCAGCUCGUGUUGUGAAAUGUUGGGUUAAGUCCCGCAACGAGCGCAACCCUUAUCCUUUGUUGCCAGCGGUUAGGCCGGGAACUCAAAGGAGACUGCCAGUGAUAAACUGGAGGAAGGUGGGGAUGACGUCAAGUCAUCAUGGCCCUUACGACCAGGGCUACACACGUGCUACAAUGGCGCAUACAAAGAGAAGCGACCUCGCGAGAGCAAGCGGACCUCAUAAAGUGCGUCGUAGUCCGGAUUGGAGUCUGCAACUCGACUCCAUGAAGUCGGAAUCGCUAGUAAUCGUGGAUCAGAAUGCCACGGUGAAUACGUUCCCGGGCCUUGUACACACCGCCCGUCACACCAUGGGAGUGGGUUGCAAAAGAAGUAGGUAGCUUAACCUUCGGGAGGGCGCUUACCACUUUGUGAUUCAUGACUGGGGUGAAGUCGUAACAAGGUAACCGUAGGGGAACCUGCGGUUGGA
rnacentral:rRNA from 6 species